rnacentral:rRNA from 1 species
AACGAACGCUGGCGGCAUGCCUAACACAUGCGAGUCGAACGAGACCUUCGGGUCUAGUUGCGCACGGGUGCGUAACGCGUGGGAACCUGCCCUUAGGUUCGGAAUAACUCCCCGAAAGGGGUGCUAAUACCGGAUAAUGUCUUCGGACCAAAGAUUUAUCGCCUUUGGAUGGGCCCGCGUUGGAUUAGCUAGUUGGUAGGGUAAAAGCCUACCAAGGCGACGAUCCAUAGCUGGUCUGAGAGGAUGAUCAGCCACACUGGGACUGAGACACGGCCCAGACUCCUACGGGAGGCAGCAGUGGGGAAUAUUGGACAAUGGGCGAAAGCCUGAUCCAGCAAUGCCGCGUGAGUGAUGAAGGCCUUAGGGUUGUAAAGCUCUUUUACCCGGGAUGAUAAUGACAGUACCGGGAGAAUAAGCUCCGGCUAACUCCGUG